rnacentral:rRNA from 1 species
GACGAACGCUGGCGGCGUGCUUAACACAUGCAAGUCGAACGGAAAGGCCCUGCUUUUGUGGGGUGCUCGAGUGGCGAACGGGUGAGUAACACGUGAGUAACCUGCCCUUGACUUUGGGAUAACUUCAGGAAACUGGGGCUAAUACCGGAUAGGAGCUCCUGCUGCAUGGUGGGGGUUGGAAAGUUUCGGCGGUUGGGGAUGGACUCGCGGCUUAUCAGCUUGUUGGUGGGGUAGUGGCUUACCAAGGCUUUGACGGGUAGCCGGCCUGAGAGGGUGACCGGCCACAUUGGGACUGAGAUACGGCCCAGACUCCUACGGGAGGCAGCAGUGGGGAAUAUUGCACAAUGGGCGGAAGCCUGAUGCAGCAACGCCGCGUGCGGGAUGACGGCCUUCGGGUUGUAAACCGCUUUCGCCUGUGACGAAGCGUGAGUGACGGUAAUGGGUAAAGAAGCACCGGCUAACUACGUGCCAGCAGCCGCGGUGAUACGUAGGGUGCGAGCGUUGUCCGGAUCUAUUGGGCGUAAAGGGCUCGUAGGUGGUUGAUCGCGUCGGAAGUGUAAUCUUGGGGCUUAACCCUGAGCGUGCUUUCGAUACGGGUUGACUUGAGGAAGGUAGGGGAGAAUGGAAUUCCUGGUGGAGCGGUGGAAUGCGCAGAUAUCAGGAGGAACACCAGUGGCGAAGGCGGUUCUCUGGGCCUUUCCUGACGCUGAGGAGCGAAAGCGUGGGGAGCGAACAGGCUUAGAUACCCUGGUAGUCCACGCUGUAAACGGUGGGUACUAGGUGUGGGGUCCAUUCCACGGGUUCCGUGCCGUAGCUAACGCUUUAAGUACCCCGCCUGGGGAGUACGGCCGCAAGGCUAAAACUCAAAGGAAUUGACGGGGCCCCGCACAAGCGGCGGAGCAUGCGGAUUAAUUCGAUGCAACGCGUAGAACCUUACCUGGGUUUGACAUGGAUCGGGAGUGCUCAGAGAUGGGUGUGCCUCUUUUGGGGUCGGUUCACAGGUGGUGCAUGGCUGUCGUCAGCUCGUGUCGUGAGAUGUUGGGUUAAGUCCCGCAACGAGCGCAACCCUUGUUCACUGUUGCCAGCACGUUAUGGUGGGGACUCAGUGGAGACCGCCGGGGUCAACUCGGAGGAAGGUGGGGAUGACGCCAAGUCAUCAUGCCCCUUAUGUCCAGGGCUUCACGCAUGCUACAAUGGCUGGUACAGAGAGUGGCGAGCCUGUGAGGGUGAGCGAAUCUCGGAAAGCCGGUCUCAGUUCGGAUUGGGGUCUGCGGCUCGACCUCAUGAAGUCGGAGUCGCUAGUAAUCGCAGAUCAGCAACGCUGCGGUGAAUAAGUUCCCGGG